AUUUAUAUAGUAUAAAUAUUAUUAUUAAUUUCCAAUUAAUAGAUCUUAAGAAGUAUGAAUA
rnacentral:tRNA from 1 species